AUGGCAAAGAAUGGCAUCCAAAUGUUAGGGGAUUUACUCGAUUGAAGGUUUUGAUAAUUGAAGGUAGUCCUCUCAAGUACUGGAAAGCCACAAAUGACAAUUUUCCUGUCCUUGAGCGCCUUGUGCUAAAAGAAUGCAGAUGUUUGAAAGAGAUACCCAUUGAGUUUGCAGAAAUUCACACACUACAGCUGAUUGAGUUAACAAGGUGUCUUCCCGAACUUGGGGAAUCUGGAGCACGAAUUCAAAAAGAACAAGAAGACCUCGGAAACAACCCCGUGGAUGUUCGUAUCUCCGAUCCAUUGCCUGAUGAAGGAGAAGAAGUUUAUUAUCUUGAUGUUUCAGAAGAGGAUGAUGAAUGUUGAUGUUGCAGAAGAUGAUGAUAAUGAAGAUUCGGAUGCAAAACAUGAUGAUAAUUACGAUCUUAAUUGGUUGUUCGAUGUUCGGAAUAACCUGUAAUGUAAAGGGAAACAAUGGAUUAACAAUUUGAUACUGUUAUAGACUGUUGAUGCUAGUUCAUCACCCUAUGUUUAUUCAUAAAUGUAAAUGUAUUACGUUCUUUGGUUUUAUAGAGUCAAUGAAGCGUGUUGUGUCUA